AUUGAACGCUGGAGGCAGGCCUAACACAUGCAAGUCGAGCGAGCGGCGGACGGGUGAGUAAUGUCUGGGAAACUGCCUGAUGGAGGGGGAUAACUACUGGAAACGGUAGCUAAUACCGCAUACCAUCAGAUGUGCCCAGAUGGGAUUAGCUGGUAGGUGGGGUAACGGCUUACCUAGGCGACGAUCCCUAGCUGGUCUGAGAGGAUGACCAGCGACACUGGAACUGAGGCACUGUCCAGCGUCCUACGUGAGGCAGCAGUGGGGAAUAUUGCACAAUGGGCGAAAGCCUGAUGCAGCCAUGCCGCGUGUGUGAAGAAGGCCUUCGGGUUGUAAAGCACUUUCAGCGGGGAGGCGUUACCCGCAGAAGAGGCGCCGGCUAACUCCGUGCCAGCCGCCGCGGUAAUAC
rnacentral:rRNA from 1 species